UGCCUUGCAGGUUCCUCUCUCAUCCCGUGACCUUGUCACGGUUUGGGCACACCCUGGUGGCUCCCAACACCUAGAGAAGGGAAUGGAAACUCACUCCAGCAUUCUUGCCUGGAGAAUUCCAUGGGCAGAGGAGCCUGGCGGGAUUACAGUCCAAGGGGUCACAAAGAGUCGGACAUGACUGAGUGACUUUCACUUUCUUUUUGCAGUUUGGAUCUACAAAAAGGCUGAAAGUGCCACCUACGGUCCACUCCGUAGAAAUGCCCAAAGAAUGUAGUCUGAGCCUUAUGGACUGAGAGUCACAGGAACUAGGAAUUUAAGGCUGAUUUAGUUAACGACACCCCUGGUGAGAAGACUAAUGAAGACAAAAGAAAUCAGAAAUCUGAAGAUCUUUGGGAACUCCGUGCUCAUGAUGUAAAUGGCGAGACGUGCAUGAAGGUUCUUAGCCAGGGGUCCUCACAGGAUUUUCCAGGCCCUGUUACAGGUCAACAGGGAACCAGGUAGUGAGUGUCGGGGCAAAGCCCCCAGGCUGAGGCCAGGCCGGGUCUCCCGCCAGUCUCCUUCCUUCCGUGCACCACGAGUGCAAGCGAGUGUUAUCACUUCUCCUACAGAAUGAAGGUGUGUGUUGCAGGAAAGCUGGAGUGAACUCUCUAGUGACAUAAAUUUAAAACUACAGCAAGAGGGAGAUGGAGGGAGGGAGACAGAUAAACAGAUAUGAUGUGCCCUGGCUUUAGUCUAUAGUGCAAAAUUUAUGAAAACAGAAAAUGAUAUUAAAACCGGUUAGUCUUCA